rnacentral:lncRNA from 1 species
UGUACAAAUUCAAACAAGAAAUGCACUAGCGGAAACAUAAAAAAACGGCUUACACGAGGGUAAGCAAUAGCCAUCAGUGAAAGAAAGGGAAACUAAACAUCUACACAAGUACUAUGAUUCAUUUUUGAUCAUAUACAUUGCAUUCAUCUCUUACAUUUUGGAUUCUUUGCGUUUCAUUACAUCACUUCAUCAUUUCUUUCUUACAUCACAUUUACCCCAAAAAUGAGCUUUACAUUCUUUUCUUUACUUUGCUUUAUACAUCAACAUCUUAAAUCAUCAAAUACAAAAGAUGAUAAAAGGGGUAAACUACUAACAAAAUAUAAUCCGAACUCAACUCUAGUGGCCUCUGACUAAGGCGCGAUACCUUUACCUAGGUCGCUCGCCGGCUCGCUCGGUCCCGGCUCUGUAGAAAUAGUGGGGUGAGAACUACAACAAAGUUCCCAGUGGGUUCGGCCCCAACAUCACCGACUUUCCCACUAGGAC